rnacentral:rRNA from 1 species
GACGAACGCUGGCGGCGUGCCUAACACAUGCAAGUCGAACGAGAUCCAUGGGAGCUUGCUCCCGGAAGAUCUAGUGGCGAACGGGUGAGUAACACGUGAGAAACCUGCCCUGGAGUGGGGAAUAACUCGGGGAAACUCGAGCUAAUACCGCAUACCCUCGGAUGGUCGCAUGGCCGACCGAGGAAAGAUUUAUCGCUCUAGGAGGGUCUCGCGGCCUAUCAGCUAGUUGGUGGGGUAACGGCCUACCAAGGCAACGACGGGUAGCUGGUUUGAGAGAACGAUCAGCCACACUGGGACUGAGACACGGCCCAGACUCCUACGGGAGGCAGCAGUGGGGAAUCUUGCGCAAUGGGCGAAAGCCUGACGCAGCAACGCCGCGUGCGGGAUGACGGCCUUCGUGGUUGUAAACCGCUUCAGCAGGGACGAAAUGACGGUACCUGCAGAAGAAGCCCCGGCUAACUACGUGCCAGCAGCCGCGGUAAU